UACGAAGGGGGGCUAGCGUUGCUCGGAAUCACUGGGCGUAAAGCGCACGUAGGCGGAUCUUUAAGUCAGGGGUGAAAUCCUGGAGCUCAACUCCAGAACUGCCUUUGAUACUGAGGAUCUCGAGUCCGGGAGAGGUGAGUGGAACUGCGAGUGUAGAGGUGAAAUUCGUAGAUAUUCGCAAGAACACCAGUGGCGAAGGCGGCUCACUGGCCCGGUACUGACGCUGAGGUGCGAAAGCGUGGGGAGCAAACAGG
rnacentral:rRNA from 1 species